rnacentral:rRNA from 1 species
UACGUAGGGUGCAAGCGUUAUUCGGAAUUACUGGGCGUAAAGCGUGCGCAGGCGGCUUUGCAAGUCAGAUGUGAAAUCCCCGGGCUUAACCUGGGAACUGCAUUUGUGACUGCAUGGCUGGAGUGCGGCAGAGGGGGAUGGAAUUCCGCGUGUAGCAGUGAAAUGCGUAGAUAUGCGGAGGAACACCGAUGGCGAAGGCAAUCCCCUGGGCCUGCACUGACGCUCAUGCACGAAAGCGUGGGGAGCGAACAGG